ACUAGGCUGCAUAUUCAAGCACGGGAAGAUAUGAUACGGUAUCAUGUCACCCUGCUGCGAGUUUAUGGCUGUCGCUGGAUGAGGAACUGACUGCCGUCCCCAGGCUGCGUCCCCUGCCCUCUCC